GUGCCAGCAGCCGCGGUAAUACCGGCAGCCCAAGUGAUGGCCACUCUUAUUGGGCCUAAAGCGUCCGUAGCCGGCCUCGCAAGUCCGUCGGGAAAUCCAGUAGCUCAACUACUGGGCGUCCGGCGGAAACUACAAGGCUUGGGACCGGAAGGCUCGAGGGGUACGUCCGGGGUAGGAGUGAAAUCCCGUAAUCCCGCACGGACCACCGAUGGCGAAAGCACCUCGAGAAAACGGAUCCGACAGUGAGGGACGAAAGCCAGGGUCUCCAACCGGAUUAGAUACCCGUGUAGUCC
rnacentral:rRNA from 1 species